GUUUUUUGGAGCAUUUUCUUUCUAACACGAAUUAAUUGUUAAGAAGCUUAUGCCAACUUGCAAGAAGCUUUGUACUUCUAAACCAUAAAUCCACAUUAGCUUGAAAUUCCAAGUAUGGUGCUAGUGAAUGAAUUCAUUAACGGGACAAAAAAUUUGUUACCUAAUAAAUGAUUAAAAAGAAGAAUAAAAUAGGACUUACUGUCAGUAUAGCUUUUCCGGUGU
rnacentral:misc_RNA from 1 species